rnacentral:rRNA from 1 species
AUUGAACGCUGGCGGCAGGCCUAACACAUGCAAGUCGAACGGUAACAGGAAGAAGCUUGCUUCUUUGCUGACGAGUGGCGGACGGGUGAGUCAUGUCUGGGAAACUGCCUGAUGGAGGGGGAUAACUACUGGAAACGGUAGCUAAUACCGCAUAACGUCGCAAGCCCAAAGAGGGGGACCUUCGGGCCUCUUGCCAUCGGAUGUGCCCAGAUGGGAUUAGCUAGUAGGUGGGGUAACGGCUCACCUAGGCGACGAUCCCUAGCUGGUCUGAGAGGAUGACCAGCCACACUGGAACUGAGACACGGUCCAGACUCCUACGGGAGGCAGCAGUGGGGAAUAUUGCACAAUGGGCGCAAGCCUGAUGCAGCCAUGCCGCGUGUAUGAAGAAGGCCUUCGGGUUGUAAAGUACUUUCAGCGGGGAGGAAGGGAGUAAAGUUAAUACCUUUGCUCAUUGACGUUACCCGCAGAAGAAGCACCGGCUAACUCCGUG